rnacentral:rRNA from 1 species
GAUGAACGCUGGCGGCGUGCCUAAUACAUGCAAGUCGAGCGAACAGACGAGGAGCUUGCUCCUUUGACGUUAGCGGCGGACGGGUGAGUAACACGUAGGUAACCUACCUAUAAGACUGGGAUAACUUCGGGAAACCGGAGCUAAUACCGGAUAAUAUUUCGAACCGCAUGGUUCGAUAGUGAAAGAUGGCUUUGCUAUCACUUAUAGAUGGACCUGCGCCGUAUUAGCUAGUUGGUAAGGUAACGGCUUACCAAGGCAACGAUACGUAGCCGACCUGAGAGGGUGAUCGGCCACACUGGAACUGAGACACGGUCCAGACUCCUACGGGAGGCAGCAGUAGGGAAUCUUCCGCAAUGGGCGAAAGCCUGACGGAGCAACGCCGCGUGAGUGAUGAAGGUCUUCGGAUCGUAAAACUCUGUUAUUGGGGAAGAACAAACGUGUAAGUAACUGUGCACGUCUUGACGGUACCAAAUCAGAAAGCCACGGCUAACUACGUG